UAAGAUGGUAAUUGGGUUUCUCAGAUUGUUCUAUUUGGAAAAUGUCACAUUUCAGAGAUUCUGCUGCCUUUCUUUCCAGGAUAGAAGGUGAGAUUCAAGAAAGCUUUUGUGGAUAUAGAAAGGGCAAAUUGCCUCAUCAGUCAUCCACUCCAUCUUCAACUACUCUAAUAACUCUCAUUCCAGUGCUCAGCUGAGGCACAGACUCAAGGCCAAAGUCUACUUCUGAGAUAUAGGAAGAGUAGCAGGUUUCAUUUAUAUGAGAGACACAAGGAGUUUGCACAAGUCAUAUCCUUGCCAUAUCUGAUUAUAUUAAACUCACUGCACAGUGGAAGCAGUAGUGACCAACACAGAGCAAAGAUGAAAAGAAGGAAAACUUCUUCGUUAUUUUCUUCUCUCUCAAGUAGUAGAGAUCCUGGCCAACCUGGAUCCUUGGAUGAGUAUAUAGAACAGAAGACUCUUCCGAUUACCAAGCCUACCUGAACACAUAUCAAUGACCAAGAAACAAACUUUCCAUGUUGUUUUUAAGCAAUUUAUAUGUUACAGUGCACUAGAACCACCUAAUUAAGGUAAGUACAUUAGUGAUUGUAGUAAUGACUAUUAGAGAGAUGGGAAAGCACAGUUUAGCAAAAUUUUAGCAAAAAAGGGUAACAUACAUGUGAAAUGAGAAAAUCUUAUCCACAUUUUAACUGGAAAUUUUUAUUCAGUUAAAACAAGAAGAAUUGAUCCUUUUUUU
rnacentral:lncRNA from 1 species